ACUUGGUGCAACAUGGGACUUUAUCGUGGGGAAUGCCGUCUGGACCGGAGCUGUGUGUCCACUCUGCAUCAAAGCUUCGGACCAGGCUUCAUUCCCCUCGAGGGAGUUUCAUAGCAGUGCUAU
rnacentral:pre_miRNA from 1 species